UGAUAUGUUCUGCUUACCUGGUCCUGUGC
rnacentral:piRNA from 1 species